UCUCCAUAGUUAGAUGGCCGAUUCUUGUCCUCCGUAUCGAGCUAGCCGUAUCAACCAACAAGAUCAGUUCUCUGGGAGUUGAUUGAUAAGAAAGAGGAAAGGCUUCUGACUUAAAUAUCUGAUUGCACACAGAAACAUAAUUCAUAAAUGCUAAUCAAGAGUGCUCCAUGGUUCACUGAAGACGUGGAAACUUCAAAGUGACACACAGAAGAAAAAGUCUGCCACACAGCUGAGCUGACCGGGUUGUUGACAUGCUGGCCCGUACACUACAUACUUCUAACGAAGGCCUUCAGCUCUUUCUUUCGGUCAUAACUAGCAGGGACUUCUUUACAUCAAACUAUGGUACAUCUCAAAUGUUGACUCAUCAUCUUCAACGUCUUCAGGGAGAUGCUCUGCUAAGCAGGGAAAUUUGGUAAUCCCACCUUUUAAAUGUGUCAAAAUGACACUCAAGUAUGAAUGGUUUGUUUGAAGAUGUGAUCCGAAGCAUAAGGAGUGAUUAUCAAAAUAAAUUGCUACACGGACGCACUUUGAAGUUAAAGGAAUUCCAUGAUUCACCAAUCGAAAGAAACCCCAAGUCCCCGAUGCACGUCGAACUUGAUCAGUAAUUUCCUUGCGUUGGUGAUGGUCAUCUGAAUCCACGUUUUUCAUAUCAAUCACAGGAAUCUCAAA